AAACGUUUAUACAAACAAACACGCGUGCAUUCACCGGCUGCCACGAAGUUUACGCGAUCUCGCAGAAACAAAUCUUCCGCGCGCCUCUUUACACGGCGUUCCGGCAGCGAUCGGAUUGGAUCGCUGAUUACAAUUGACGACGUCAAAAUAGAUUUGCGCGAGCUCGCGAGUUAAGGUUACGAUUAUUUUUAAUUAAAUCAUUUAAAUUAGGCGCUUGUUUAUCAGUUCAACCGAAGUGUCAUUUCAAUUCCGGACUAUAAGCUCGAUUUCUUUUUAACUCGAUCUUAAAUCAAACGAUCAAGUUAAUUAAAGCGCGAAAUAAAUCGCGAAAGAGAAGGAAGGAGAGAGAAAAUCGUAACCCCGGUGUGCCGGAUAAUCGAACGUGGAGAAUCGAGCGUGCGAUUGGGCCGAGGUCUUACGAGCCACUGAAGGCAGACCGCUCUUCGGCUCUCGCUGGAGUCACCGUUGCGGGCAGGCGCAACGUGUGUUACCGUGUGAUAACUUGGCCGUUAUACAGCCGACGAGAGAGGCAUUCUACCGUCGCCGCUUGGUGCCUGCGGAUUAUAUCUGGACACGCGCCUCCAGAUUUCGACCGUGGAUCCGUGCUAAUCAAAGAUGCACUGUGGGGAUCCUCGGUUCCGACUAACCCGUCUUCUCGCAACCGGAGGGGAAAAAAAUUUACAUAAGCUGGUUGUCUGGAAAACUUGUUCCACGUGACUUUGCGCGUGAGUAUCCGUAAAUAACUCUCUUCAAUCUAUCCUUCAAUCGCGCUGCAUCGGAAGAGCAGCAUGACGGAAAUGGAUAUGGAGGAAACAGGAAAUCUCGAUGUUCGGGCAGAAUCGCAUGUUCGCGGUAUCAUGAAUCCGAUCGAGAUUUAUUAACGAUUUCACAAAUUGAUACGUAGCUCGUGAAAUGUCAAGCUCACGUAUAUACGAACACACGCUGAUCACCAAAUCAUUCGCGCCGACAAUCCCUCCGAUUGACCUCGACAUCAGCUAAUCCUUUUUAUUUGUCAGAAGCAAAAUUGGAAUUCGUCCCGAAACUCCCACGCCGUCCGACCUUCCUCAAUGUGUCACGCAAAUUAUUCUUAACGAACGGCUAUAUUGUGAGAACAGCGCGGGCUGGGUCCUGAUGAUAACUGCAUGCCAACAUUAUUAGACCGCAGUGCGUCGCAAGUUUCGACAAUAAAUAAUAAUACAUCGGCAAGAA